AAUUAAGAGAGUUUGAUUCUGGCUCAGGAUGAACGCUGGCGGCGUGGAUAAGGCAUGCAAGUCAAACGGGCUCUGUAGCAAUACAGA
rnacentral:ncRNA from 1 species